GAGUAUUGCAAUUAACUUUAUGCUCCCUACUCUGUAGAUUUCUUAAAGGCAGAGAUCUAGUUAGGGGACCAUAAAACUUUGCCUUUGAAAAAUGGUUCACCACUCUAUUGUGUUCUUACCUCUGCACUGAAAUUCCCAAUGUCCUAUAGAAAAAGUUACUGGAAAAUGUAGUAGAAAAUUAGAACAAAAAUAUAUCUAGAGAGGAAAAUUAAUUUUAGCAAUGAGGCAACAGAAGAUUCUCACAAGUUAGUUCUACAUUCUGUGAACCUUUCAGUCAUUCCACAGCCCCAACUAUGUGCCACACCGUGCUGUGGGUGGUGAGGGUGUAAAGGCAGGUGAUAUAUCGUCCAUGCCCUUGAGGAAUUGCCAAGCUCUUUUGAAUAGCUAACCAUGGUAUAGGACAGGGUGAAAUAAAUGCUAAGUGGAGAGAGAAGGGGCUAGUAACCGUUGCCCACAACCUGUCCUUGGAGGGAGCUUAUAAAACUGUGGGCUCCCUGAUGAAUGGCUGCUAACACCCAGUGUUUGACUCAAAAAGGUUAAGAAUGGGCCUUGUUUGCCAGCCCGGGUUGAAGAUACACUAUGAAGUUCAUUUAUUGAGGAGUUCUGAAAGCAGAAGUACUCUGACUAGGGGCAACUUCUAUCUGUCCAGGCAUCACUGUGGUCUGUUCAUAAGUAGAGGCCUUUGUUGUAAACACAUUCUUUAGCCAAAAGGGAUCCUGUAACCAUGGAAGGAGAUUGCAAUUCUCUCUGCAGGCCAAAAGAGGGCACCUAAAGCUUUCUGAAUGGCAGUUACAGCUGUAUCAGAGCAGGCAUUUGUCUCGGAGGUGUUUACCUACUCUCCUGGAAACGAUCUGGUCAGAUGCAGUUUGGACCCUGGAAGGGAUGUGGAAGACACAGGCUCCUACUUUGGUCUUUUUGAACUGAAGACAAGCAUUUAUUUGGCUCCCAUCAAAGUCCUCUCUUUCUCCACUGAGAAUGUUGGAUUGUUUUGAAGUCUGCAGGACUGUGGCAGCUCAUAAAGUCCUGAAGAUGGGGCCAUUAAGCUUGGAAAUAACAUUCUGAAGAUUGGUUUGUGGAGCCUGGAUAAACAUGACUGACAAUACUGCACAAUUCAAGGAUUAGUCUUAUUUUUGUUUUGCCUUUAAGGACAAUCCCACCUGGAGGCCAUGAUGAACUAGGAGAUCUCUUUAGGUAAGACCAAGGACUCUACACAAAUUUCCAUUAAUCCUUUAAAAACAAAGUAAUGAACAGGCCAGAUCUUACAUGUAAACUAGGACUUCUGAGUUUUAGCUUCCAUCUGGAAUGGACUAGGUUGCAGAGUGAUCUGAGAACUUCACCUUUCUACACUUCAGUUGUCUCCCCAAUUAAAUGGGUAAAAUAGUUUCUCUUAUUCUUUGAGAAUUCUUCAAAAGAUUAAUUUUUAGAGAGAUAUUUAUGUAAAAGCUAUGGAAAGAUAUGAACUAUUUUUGUUUUGUUUUGUUUUUUCAUCUCUUUUUGCAGGAUCACGCAUAGUUCCUGGCUUAUAGUAGUAAUCCAGUAAACAUUUGUUGAAUGAAAUUACGUAUACAUAUUUUUAUGUAUAUAUUUUUCAGAAUGACACACUUUACUAUUUGAUACUCAAUUGUCUAAAAUUUUCCAAUAAUAGUAAUAUAAUGAUAACUUAUACACAUGCAUAUGUAAUUGCUUAAGAAGCUUACAAAGUUUUUUGUGUGUAUUAUCACAGUUGUCUUCAGAUCUGUAAUCAAAGGAAUGAGGGUUCUGAAAUCUUAAAUGGAUCUCCAAGGUCAGACAUGAAUAGAGUAACCCUACAGUUUGUUGUUCAAUGGCGCUGGUUUAGAAAGCAAAUAAGAAGGUCAUUAAUAAACAUGUCGGUUCAAUAGCACAAACUAGGACCAUAGGAAACUCAGAGUGGGAGGUCAUCCUCCUAAUAUAUGACAAAGAGAGGACUUGUACCUGGGUCUUCUGACUUCAUCUCAUGUUCAUUACAGGGCACAAUUUCAGCCUGCCAGCCUUCCUUCCUUCCUUCCUUCCUUCCUUCCUUUCUUACUUUCAACAAAAAUAUUACUAAAUGAUGGUAGCAGAGCAUUGCAAGGUCCUAUGGUACCAUAUAAAUCUUCAUAAAACAAUUGUAUUUCACAAAAGUUUUGGUGCCAGUUGUAUUUUCUGUGUUGUGUGUUUUGAUUUCUUACUUUGUAGAUGGAAAUAUUAGAUUAAAGUACUCAAUUCUUUUAUUGUGCUAAAUAACAGAGGUCCAUGUAUUUAUACAUAUUUACAAGAAUAUUUUGCAUAUGUCAAAGAGAAUCUUUCCACAUUAUCAUUGUGAUAGAUGUAUUGACUUGUCCAUUAUAAUUAAUUUGUCAUCAUUAUUAGAACUCAUUGUAGGCCUCUAGUAAUAUACAACCUAAAAACUAUGGGAAAAAAUGUAAAACAUACAUUACUAUCAUAGGUAGCUAAGGGUAGAAAUAUACUAUCCCAUUUUCCUAUGUUCCUUUGGACUUUUGCACAGUAUUUGUUAUGUAUGUUAUAUUACCUUCCAUGUACAUUGUUUCUCUUGUUAGUGCAAAACUAUCCCUCAAAUAUUUUGUUUAUAAGAAAAUCUAGAAUAUUCUGUGUUUUAAUUAGCAUGAUAAAGGCAUGGGUGUGUUCCCAUAUCUUUAGUAAAAAUAGAUGGAAGCCAGAGUAAAACCACUCAGAACAAGGAGGCUGAGAAUAUGUUAUGCCACGAAGGUGGUCUUAUGAUCUCCCUGGUUUCCCCCAUUUUCCCUGCCAUUCAGGUUGGUAAUGCAUUUCUGUGAGUCUUCUUUUCUUUCAUACCUUAUUUCAUUAGUUACAAUAAAUUAGGUUAUGCUUCGAUGAUAACCUGAUAUUUUGUGUGGCUUACAGCUGCAGAG
rnacentral:lncRNA from 1 species